UUCGGGUGAACUGUGGUUAAGGAACUCGGCAAAUUGCCCCCGUAACUUCGGGAGAAGGGGGGCCAUGCCCGGUGAUCCACCUUGCGUGGUGAGCGGGGUGUGGCCGCAGAUACCAGGGGGAAGCGACUGUUUACUAAAAACACAGGUCCGUGCGAAGUCGUAAGACGCUGUAUACGGACUGACGCCUGCCCGGUGCCGGAACGUUAAGAGGACCGGUCAACCCUCACGGGUGAAGCUGAGAAUCUAAGCGCCGGUAAACGGCGGUGGUAACUAUAACCAUCCUAAGGUAGCGAAAUUCCUUGUCGGGUAAGUUCCGACCUGCACGAAUGGCGUAACGACUUCCCCACUGUCUCAACCACAGACCCGGCGAAAUUGCAGUACGAGUAAAGAUGCUCGUUUCGCGCAGCAGGACGGAAAGACCCCGGGACCUUCACUACAGCUUGGCAUUGGCGUUUGGAGCGUCUUGUGUAGGAUAGGUGGGAGACUGUGAAGCUCACACGCCAGUGUGGGUGGAGUCAUUGGUGAAAUACCACUCUGGUCGUUUCGAGCGUCUAACCCGCACCCGUGAAUCCGGGUGGGGGACAGUGCCUGGUGUAGUUUAACUGGGGCGGUUGCCUCCUAAAAGGUAACGGAGGCGCCCAAAGGUUCCCUCAGCCUGGUUGGUAAUCAGGUGGCGAGUGCAAGGGCACAAGGGAGCUUGACUGUGAGACGGACAUGUCGAGCAGGUGCGAAAGCAGGGCCUAGUGAUCCGGCGGUGGCAUGUGGAAGCGCCGUCGCUCAACGGCUAAAAGGUACCCCGGGGAUAACAGGCUGAUCUUCCCCAAGAGUCCAUAUCGACGGGAUGGUUUGGCACCUCGAUGUCGGCUCGUCGCAUCCUGGGGCUGGAGUAGGUCCCAAGGGUUGGGCUGUUCGCCCAUUAAAGCGGCACGCGAGCUGGGUUUAGAACGUCGCGAGACAGUUCGGUCCCUAUCCGCUGCGCGCGCAGGAGAUUUGAGAGGGUCUGUCCCUAGUACGAGAGGACCGGGACGGACGAACCUCUGGUGUGCCAGUUGUCAUGCCAAUGGCACGGCUGGUUGGCUACGUUCGGACGGGAUAACCGCUGAAAGCAUCUAAGCGGGAAGCCUUCCUCGAGAUGAGAUCUCCCACCCCCAUGAGGGGUGUAAGGCCCCCAGCUAGACCACUGGGUUGAUAGGCCAGAAAUGGAAGCACCGUAAGGUGUGGAGUUGACUGGUACUAAUAGGCCGAGCGGCUGG
rnacentral:rRNA from 1 species